UACGUAGGGAGCAAGCGUUGUCCGGAAUCAUUGGGCGUAAAGCGCGCGUAGGUGGCCCCAUAAGUCCGCUGUGAAAGUCAAAGGCUCAACCUUUGAAAGCCGGUAGAUACUGUGGGACUAGAGUACGGAAGAGGCGAGUGGAAUUCCUGGUGUAGCGGUGGAAUGCGCAGAUAUCAGGAGGAACACCAAUAGCGAAGGCAGCUCGCUGGGACGUUACUGACGCUCAGGCGCGAUAGCGUGGGGAUCAAACAGG
rnacentral:rRNA from 1 species